rnacentral:rRNA from 1 species
UACGGAGGGUGCAAGCAUCAAUCGGAUUUAUUGGGCGUAAAGGGCGCGUAGGCGGAGAUAAUAGUCAGAUGUGAAAUCCUGGGGCUCAACCUCAGAACUGCAUUUGAAACUGUAUCUCUCGAGGAUAGGAGGAGAAAACGGAAUUCCACAAGUAGCGGUGAAAUGCGUAGAGAUGUGGAAGAACACCGGUGGCGAAGGCGGUUUUCUAUCUUAUUCCUGACGCUGAUGCGCGAAAGCAAGGGGAUCAAACAGG